AGGAGAGUUGAGGUUGUUGCAAGAUUGAAGUCAUUGGAGGAAGGUGCGACAAACUGUUUGGUUGAAGCUCGAUAAAGUCAUGAAGGCAUUGCUGGAACAUAAGGCAGAAGGUCACCCGGAAAAUGAAGGUUUUUGGAGAUUUCAGGGCCGACCUCAGUUUCUUCAUAAUUGCGUAGAAGAUCAGAAUGUGGGAAGAGAUAUAAUUGUUCAUCGUGUUCGCAGGAACAUCAAAAAC